CCAAUGUGACAGAAUUGGUGGAACAGUUGAUUGAUCCUUCGGAGAAAUUACUGGGUUAUAAAGUAACAAAGGAGCAAUCACUAAUGAGCUGGAGUAGAUGUGGAAUCCACUAAUGGAUGGUUUAGUCAAAACCGUGUGGAGCCAGAUGUGAAAAUCACCGAUCAAAGCUUGCUAAAGUGAAAGGGAAAAAGAACUAAUGCUGGGCACACAGCACAACUUCGUAGAAAGACUUAAACAACAGGUAAAUUAGGGCUUGAAGCAAAAUACUAGUUGAUUAAAGCAUUUCCUUUCUAGCAAUUCACUUCUCUUCAACUAUCUUGUAUUCCUGAAGCAAUUUAUUACUAGAGGGAGUGAAAAGGAGAUCAUAUGGCGGACUUACUUCUUUCUGCCUUGGUGAGCACUGUGGUGGGGAACUUGAAUACUUCUGCACUUAAAGAAUUUGGGGUUGCUUGGGGCUUGGGAGCUGAGCUCGACAAUCUUAAAAGCACGAUAUCUGCCAUCUGAUCCGUUAUCAAAGAUGUAGAGGAGGAGCAGUGGAACAGUGAAGCUAUCAGGGAUUAGCUGGGAAAGCUCAAAGAUGUAACUUGUGAUGCGGAUAAUGUUCUGGACAAGUUUGCAACUGAAGCUCUGAUGCGAAAGGUGGAGAGAGAGAAAGGUGCGACAAGCCAAGUAAGUAGAUUCUUUUCUCUUCCAAACAGACCUAUAUUUCGCAUGAAAAUGGCACAUAAAUUGAAGAAUGUGAAGGAUAGAAUAUAGGCCAUUUCUAAGGAGAGAUCUUUUGACUUGAGAGAGAGAUAUAAACAUGGAAGCUUUUGAUGUAAAAAUAUUAGAAAGAAGACAAACUUGCUCACUUGUGAAUGAAAGUGUGAUUUAUGGAAGAGAUGAGGAAAAAGAAAAGAUCAUUGAAGUGUUGCUCACUAAUGUGUCUGUUGUUCAAGAUAAUCUGGCCAUUUAUGCUGUAUGGGGUAUGGGGGGCUAAGUAAAACAACGCUUGCACAGUUAGUCUACAAUGAUGUAAGGGUGGAGAAGCAUUUUGAAUUGAGAAUUUGGGUGUGUGUAUCAGUUGAUUUCUAGAUAAGUAAGUUGCUAAGGGCGAUCAUAGAGUCUAUUGAUCGUGUUGCAUGUAGUAUUUCCGAGUUGGAUCUACUGCAGAAACUGCUGCAAGAAAAAUUGCGUGGGAGGAGAUUUUUACUUAUAUUGGACGAUGUCUAAAACGAGAACCGUGAGGAAUGGGACCGCCUAAAACAUAUGUUGACAUGUGGAGGGAAAGGUAGUAUGCUUAUAGUUACAACUCGGAUUGAAACAAUUGCGCUAAUGAUCGCUACAGUACUUACUAUACACCACAUGGGAUUCUUGUCAGAUGAUGAUUCUUAGUCCUUAUUUAAAAGACGUGCAUUUGGGAUGGGAAGGAUAGAAGAGAAAUCAGAAUUGGAAUCAAUUGGUAAGGAAAUAGUGAAGAAGUGUUGUAACACUCCAGUGUAUUUUGGAGGAAGCUUGAGGGGCAAAUUGGUAAUUUACUCAAGAUAUUUUUGGGGCAAAUUGGUAAUUAAGCUUUUCAACUUAAGUUACCCCACCUGCACCCCCUCUUCCUCAUUUCACGUUGAUAUCUCUCUCACUCUUGACUAGCUGCCCCUUCUUUCUAUAUCUCUAUCCUUCUAUCUCACCCACCCACCAUAACACACACAAACACACUCUAGCUCCCAUCUACUUUAUCAUUUCUUUCCCCUCUCUAGUCGAAACCUCCCUAUUAGGGAGGAUUAUGUCCCCAUUGAUUCUCCUAGUAGAGCCAAAACUCCAUGAGAUUUUGAAGUGCAAGAGACCCAAGGUUUUGAGAUUCUUGGUGAUGAACCUAGUGACGGGAUUGGUUGAUUUUGUGAUGCCCAGUUGAGGUAAAAUUGGUUGGCUUUCCGAGUUUUUCAGAUAAAUUUGCUAUACCUCAGGCAUGGAGCUUGUUUUAUUGGUGGUGAUUAGAGCAUUAUGCUAAUUGAGAGAUUUAUGCUAUGAUUGGUUGGUGACUCAACUUUCUAAAUUUAUUGAGGCCACAGCUAAUUCUAUCGGAGGUUGGGUUCCUAAGGUUUGUUAGCCUUGGGCAUGGUAGGCAUAGAUUCUAUCAUUAAGGUUGCCUAUCCUAGGAAGAAUUGUGAUUUGAUGUUAAUCCAUUUGGAGUUUUGGCAUUUCAUGUAUAUUUGGAGACAUUAUUUGUAAUUUGUAUUAUUUGUAAAUGUGUUGUAGAGCUCAGACUUGUAAUAUGAAGAUUCUAGUAUGGUUAUUUAUCCUUAUCAUGUGUUGAGGAAAAAAAAAAAAAAAAAAAACCACCUACAUUCUCACUCUUAAUGGUUCUUCUCUCACGCUUUAGACACUUUUGGAUUUGGGGCAUGACAAGUGUGGAGGUAUGCCUCUAGCUAUAAAGGCUCUUGGAAGCCUUAUGUCCUUAAAAGUAGGAAGAGUGACUGGGAAUCAGUGGAAAAAAGUCAGAUUUGGGAUUUACCAAUAGGUAAAGAUUCCAUCUUGUUGGCUCUCAAGUUGAGUUGUCACCAUCUACUCCCACAUCUAAGGCAAUGUUUUGCUUAUUGUUGUGUAUUUCCCAAAGAUCAUAAGCUUGAGAUGGAUAAGUUAAUACAACUGUGGAUGGCUAAUGGUUUUAUUCCCUUCAAAGAACCAUCGAAGUUGUAUGAUCAUGGCGUUGAUAUCUUCAAUGAAUUAGUAUGGAGAUCUUUCUUUCAAGAUGUCAACGAGGAGUAUCCUGACUGUAUAACGUGUAGAAUGCAUGACCUUGCUCAAUCUAUUAUGAGGCAUGAAUGCAUUGUAGUGAAAUCCAGUAAAGAUGUGAAGGUUGAAGGUAGGAUUUUUCAUAUGUUUUAUGGCAUGAUCUCAGACAUUUCUUUGAAUGAGGACCUAUGUAAAGUUCGAUAUCUACGCUCAUGCCUUGGUACAUUUGAUUGUAAAACUUCUAGGCCAUUCUUCUUAAAACAAAAGUAUCUUCGGGUAUUGGAUUUUCGAUGUGUGGUUUAGGAAGUACCGGAAUCAAUCAACAAUUUAAAACAUUUGAGGUAUCUUGACAUGUCUAAUUCCUAUAUCAAAGUUUUACCUAAAUCAAAAACCUGCCUCUUGAACUUGCAAAUGUUGAAACUAGAUUUUUGUGGCUCUCUUUGUGAGUUACCCAAUGGCAUGAAGCACAUGAAAAACCUUAUGUAUCUUGGGAUCACUUAUUGUCAUACUCUUACUCGUAUGCCUGAAGGAAUGGGACAACUAACUUGCCUCCAAUCAUUGAGCUUCUACAUUGCUAGCAAGGAAAAAGGUUAUCAAAUGUUCAAAACAAGUUGACAAUAAAGGAACUUGAUAAUGUUAGAAAUUCAGUGGAGGCCAAAAAUGCAAAUUUGAUCGGAAAACAAAAUCUUCAUUUGCUAAGUUUGGUUUGGCAGACUGACGAUAAAAGCCAUGUACCGAACCAUGUUGAAGAUGUUCUUGAUGGUCUCCAACCUCAUUCAAAUCUAAAAAAAAAAAAAAAAAAAAAAAAAAAAAAAAAAAAAAAAAAACAAACAAACAAACAAACACUAUCCAUAUACAACUAUCAUAGUUCAAAAAUUCCAACAUGGAUUCAAAAUUCAGUUCUUCAUAUAAUUGGCAAACUACCAUUCCUCAAGGUUCUUGAUAUAAUUGGCUGGCAUGCUGUGAAAUAUAUUGGCAAUGAGUUCCAUGGAGACGGUGCAAUUUCGUUCCCCUCAUUGAAGGAAUUUAGGCUCCAAAAGAUGCCUGAUUUGGAGGAAUGGAGAACAAUGACUGGAGGAGAAAAUUUUCCCUACCUAAGCAGAUUAGAUAUCACGCAUUGCCCAAAGUUAGUUGAAAUUCCUAUUAUUCCUUCCAUUACAGAUUUGACUAUGAGAAGAAACAAUGCAAUGUUAAUUAGCUCAGUGUUGAAUCUCACUUCACUUUCUUCCCUUAUGAUUGAAAACAUGGAUGAAUCGUCAGUUCUUCUAGAUGGACUGUUGCAAAAUCAUAAGAUGCUUGAAAUCUUGAGGAUUUCCAGAAUGCCCAAACUCAAGUCACUAACCAACCAGUUGGAUAAUCUUUCUACGUUGAGUGAAUUUUCUUUUGAUCAUCUAACAUGUGUUAACAUUGCCAUCUCAGCGUUGACCAAUUUAGCAACAUUUCAGUUUUCGUAGCGAUCCCCAACCAGUCAAUGAUGCUAUCUCCGGAGAAGAAGUGAUCUCAAUCUUGGUGAUGUGAGAUAUUUUAUGCCAAUCCUCUCCAUUGUCUUUAUUGCACCGCUUCUCUAGAUGUGGACAUCCUCCAAUUCUCAAUGUUUUGAGUGUUGUAAGAUUCUGUAGCUCAUCUAGUAUCGACAUUAGAUUAAGGUCGGACUAAAUUUGCAAAUAUGAAAACAAUGUGAGGCAUCCUAUCUGCUUCAGUAGAGAAGAUAAGUCUUCAUAGUUCUGGAUUUCCAGAGAACGGAGAGUAGGUAGAUGUUGAAUACUCUGGCAAUGAAAUUAACUUCGGACACCAGAUGAUAUAUAAAUACUCAAGUGCAAUUAAAUAUUGAAUUCCCAUAUGUACAAAAAGUGAAAUUUGUUGCAGCUCUGAAUGAUUAAACUCUAUAGUGAAGAUAAGCCCAGCAAACCAUUCAUUGGUAAGGACAAAAGAUUAUUACACUCAUAUGUGUACAGUUUCCGCAAUGAAUGUAAGUUCUGGAGUCCUUCUCGAAGACUUUCGAUCUUGUCACAAUGAUAAAGAUAAAAUUCAUUCAACGCAAAAAGAUUAUCCAACUGAUUAGUCAGUGACUUGAGAUUAGGCAUAUUGGAAAUCAUCAAUAUUUCAAGCAUCUUAUGAUUUUGCAACAAUCCAUCUAGAAGAACUGUCAAUUCAUCCAUGCCACCAAUCACAAGGAAAGAAAGUGAAGUGAGAUUCAUCACUGACCUAAUUAACAUUUCUUUGUUUCUACUCAUAGACAAACCCAUAAUGGAAGGAAUAAUAGGAAUUUCAACUAACUUUGGGCAAUCAGUGAUAUUUAAUUUGCUUAGGCCGGGAAAAUUUUCUCCUCCAGUCAUCGUUCUCCAUUCCUCCAAAUCAUGCAUCGUAUGGAGCCUAAAUUCCUUCAAUGAGGGGAACAAAUUGCACCACCGCUAUGGAACUCAUUGCCAAUAUAUUUCACAGCAUGCCAACCAGUUAUUUCAAGAACCUUGAGGAGUGUUAGUUUGCCAAGAGGUGGCAGAUGUUCACAUCUUUUCCAACAGUCUAGCGAAAUUUCAACCAAAUCACAAAGAACUGAAUCUUGAAUCCAUGUUGGAAUUUUUGAACCAUGAUAGUUGUAUAUGGACAAUUUUUUUUCAGAUUUGAAUGAGGUUGGAAACCAUCAAGAACAUCUUCAACAUGGUCCGGUACAUGGCUUUUAUUGUCACUCCGCCAAACCAAACUUUGCGAAUUAAGAUUUUGUUUUCCAAUCAAAUUUGCAUUUUUGGCCUCUACCGAAUUUCUGACAUUAUCAAGUUCCUUUAUUGUCAACUCGUUUCGAAGGUUUAACCCUUUCAAUUCACUUAUUUGAUAACCUUUUUCCUUGCUAGCAAUGAAGAAGCUCAAUGAUUGGAGGCAACUUAGUUGCCCCAUUCCUUUAAGCAUAUGACUAAGAGAAUCACAACCAACAAUGCCAAGAUACAUAAGGUUUUUCAUGUGCUUCAUACCAUUGGGUAACUCAAAAAGAUCAUCGCAAUGGUCUAGUUUAAAUGUUUGUAGGUUCAAGAGGCAGGUUGUUGAUCCAAGUAAAACAUGAUAGGGUUUUCAUAUGUUAGAUGAAUGCUAGGAUUGUAUAUGUGUGGUUUGGCUUCUUAUGCUUUAUGGAUGGAUAUUUAUGUAUUUUGGGAUGAUGAUGCCAUGUUAUAUGCAUAGAUGUAUGCUAGUGUGUGUGUGAGUUUAGGACAUAAAUGUUGAACAUGAUUUUAUCGAGUUUAGGAUGUAAGACACAAAAAUGGGAGGCCAACCUUAGGGUUGGGUGGUCUUAGGUGCCUAACACUUUCCCAAGAAUGUACCUAAACUCCGAACUCAUAUCUCUGGUAGUAAGAUUAAUGGUCCUUCCUUGAAAGGACACUAUAUUCAUGGUUCCUAGGCCAUUGCAAAACUAGGUGGCAACUUCUCUGUUGUCCAUAAUGGCGACUCCGCUAGGGAUGAUGAGUUUAAUUCCUAUGUCUUAUUUCUUAACCUUGAUAAAAACUAUUUCAAUACUUGUUUGCACACACAUCACUUGGUUCCUUUUGUCCCUUAACCUCGAUUGGUGAUGAGUAGGAAGUUGGAAGGCUCCAUUCGGGCCCAAAUCUCCCGGAGUUCAUCCCACCAACUCACAAUCGGAGCCAUCACUUAUAAUGGACUUUGAGUACGUUCAAGGUUUGCUACCAAUCCACUAUGGGGUCCACUUAGGCCCUCGGUUGGAAUCAUCAUAGCCCACCAAGUUGUGAGUGACCUUCUUAUAUAUCCCUUUAGCCUUAGGGAGCCUACCCACACUAAAGAGAUCCUAGACCCUAUCACAAAGGAUGCCUUUUAUAUCUCUUAUUUUUUUCAACCAUAUAUCAUGUGCUCACCUAAUUCUAAAGAACAAAUAAAAGAUAUAAAAAUGGAAGGGAUUUCCCUAAAGUUAUGGUAUACCCUAAGAUGUUUUGGGAUAAAAGAAAAUAUAUUCUCACAUAUAAGAGGCUUGUCUCUAAAUCGAAAGUCUUCUAGAAGGACUCCAAAACUUAAGUUCAUUACGGAAACUGGACAUAUGGGAUUGUAAUAAUCUUUUGUCUUUACCAAUGAAUGGUUUCCAGGGCUUAUCUUCACUACGGAGUUUAUUCAUUCAGAGCUGCGACGAAUUCUGCUCUUUGUCUGAAGGAAUUCAAUAUUUAAUUGCACUUGAGGUUUUAUAUAUCAACUGGUGUCUGAAGUUAAUUUCCUUGCUAGAGGGUAUUCAACAUCUAACUGCUCUCUAUCAUCUGGAAAUCUGGAACUGUGAAGAUUUAUCUUCUCUGCCUAAGUAGAUUAGAUGCCUCACAUUGCUUUCAUCUUUGCAAAUUUGGUACUGCCCUAAUCUAAUGUCUAUACGAGACGACCUAAAGAAUCUUACGGCACUCAAAACAUUAGCAAUUGGAGGAUGUCCACAUCAGGAGAAGCGGUGCAAGAAAGACAGUGGAGAGGAUUGGCAUAAAAUAUCCCACAUCCCCAACAUCGGGAUCGCUUCUUAUCCAGAGAUACCAUCAUCAACGGGUAGAGGAUCGCUACAAAAACUGAAAUGUUGCUAAGUUGGUCAACGCUGAGAUGUCAAUGUUAACAUGCUUCAAAAAAAAAUUAUUUAUAAAGUAAACUAAACCCAUGAUGCCUUCAGUGGACAAUACAAUGGUACAUAUACCUUCAAUCUUUGCUUGUUGUUGGUGUUCAUAUUUUCUUCUCUUUUUCUCCAAAAAAAAGGUCCAAUUCAAUUUUGUGACACACUUGUCAUUACUAGUUGUAUAUUUGUUUUAUUUUAAAAUUGCUAUGGACAAUCCUUUUUUUUUUUUUUUUUUUUUGCUUGAGUUCUUAGAGAUUUUCUGUUUGUCCAAUCUCAAUUGCCAUUAUCUAUGGUUAAUGUGGGUAGGUGUGGCAA